CACGUAGGCACCAAGCGUUGUCCGGAUUUAUUGGGCGUAAAGAGCUCGUAGGCGGUUCGGUUAGUCGGGUGUGAAAACUUUGGGCUCAACCCAAAGCGUGCACUCGAUACUGCCGUGACUAGAGUUCGGUAGGGGAGUGGGGAAUUCCUAGUGUAGCGGUGAAAUGCGCAGAUAUUGGGAGGAACACCAGCGGCGAAGGCGGCACUCUGGGCUGGUAUUGACGCUGAGGAGCGAAAGCGUGGGUAGCGAACAGG
rnacentral:rRNA from 1 species